GGGCCCGUAGCUCACUUGGUAGAGCGCCUCAUUUGCAAUGAGGAGGUAACCGGUUCG
rnacentral:tRNA from 1 species